rnacentral:tRNA from 1 species
AAGACACUAGUAAAAUAGAAAUUAUAUUGCCCCGUCAAAGCAAAGUUGUGGGUUAAACCCCCGCGUGUCUUA